rnacentral:misc_RNA from 1 species
GAUGAAGAACGUAGCGAAAUGCGAUAAGUAAUGUGAAUAGCAGAAUUCAGUGAAUCAUCGAAUCUUUGAACGCACAUUGCGCCCGCCAGUAUUCUGGCGGGCAUGCCUGUUCGAGCGUCAUUACAACCCUCAGGCCCCCGGGCCUGGCGUUGGGGAUCGGCGGAGCCCCCCGUGGGCACACGCCGUCCCCCAAAUACAGUGGCGGUCCCGCCGCAGCUUCCAUCGCGUAGUAGCUAACACCUCGCGACUGGAGAGCGGCGCGGCCACGCCGUAAAACACCCAACUCUUCUGAAGUUGACCUCGAAUCAGGUAGGAAUACCCGCUGAACUUAAGCAUAUCAAUAAGCGGAGGA